GAUAUCUAAUAAGAAGGGCCAACUUAAGGAUGAAAAUUUAUUUAAUUAUUUAUAAAUAAUCAAAAAACAAACAAUCAAUUUCUAUGUUCGAACAAUCAUAAGCAAACAAAUAAAAAAAAAAAAAAUUAAAAAUAAAAAAAAAUUUUAAAUGAGGCUAAGUUCAAUGAGCGCCAUAGCAGCUGAAUUGAAUGGUGGUUCAAUAAUGGUACCCGAUGGACUAUCUUUAGCUCUUCUUCCUGAACCACUGUUAUUGUUAUUAAAAAUACAAGACGCUUUAUCACUUGUUCUUUAGCCACAACUAAUUUCCGCGAGAUGAUAAAAGAUGAAUAUAAUAUAAAAGAUAAUUAUAUUUUUAUGAUAAAGUUAUAAAUAAAAUAAAAAACGUUAACAUUGGAGUUUUAUAAUGGAGACAAAAUAACAAUGAUUCCUUUGCGGUGAUAUUUUUUACAGAUCUGAAUGAAUGAAUCGAAAAAAACAUAAUUAUAAUCAU